GGAGGCUCCUACCUUGCCCAAGGGCCUCCUGCACCUGCGUCUGAGAUCUGAUUUCUACCACUACGUGAGUGAAGUCUCGUCGGCUGGACGGUUACUGAGCCGCUUCCUCCUCCUGGCGGUGGUGGGCACAGCUGGGUUCUAGAGGGCCUAAGCUGUGGCUUCGGGCUGAUCACUGCAGCACAAUGCUGCCUAGAGCCCAAGAAUUUUCAAGUGAGAACAUGAAUUUGCAGAUCUUGGGUCCACCACCAUGAUGCCCCAUCUGGGCAGCUUGGAAACACAAGCCUGCGAGCUUUAGUUGCCGGGUCAGAGGACGAGGUUUUGAAAAUUAAAAAUAAAUAAAUAAAUAAAAUUUAAAAAGAGAAAAGAAAAAACGGGGGAAAAAGUCAGGGCUUGGAAAAUACUAACGAGGGGACUGGAUGUUUGAAACUCAAAUGCCAAUUUUUCAGGUCAUUUGACACCAACAACAAUGGAUAUUUUUAGACACGCUCUUCCUUGGAAUAGAAGGCAGAAAUCCAAGUGUGUCCUCUCAUUGCACCGUGGAGCACAUAAGCUUGCCACACAGUGGGAGUUCACCAGUCUUUUACCUCACAAUGCACCCACUUGGGCAGGGGACAUCAUGUCAUAAACAUAAUUUAUUGCACAGAUAGGUCUGUCACUUGCCUAACUCUUCACUUGGUGAUUCUGAUCUAUAUGCACUUUUCUAAGGCAUAAGAUAGGCUAGAAACUACUUCCAGAUACUUAUAUUGGGUAACAUCUUUUGAGCAGGUGGAUUUUGCCCCACAGGAUUCAUGACUACGUUUUGGAGCAGAGAGUCAGCAAGCUGCUCUUUGCGGGCCAAACCUAGCCCACCACCAGCUUUCCUGAAGUUUAAGAGCUAAGUAUGGUUUUUGCAUUUUUAAAUGAUUGGGGAAUACUCAAAAGAACAAUAUUUCAUGAUGUGCAGUUUAUGAAAUUCAAACUCAGUGCCAUGAAUAAGGCCAUGUUUAUUCUAGUACAGUUCAGGGGUUGUGACAGAGACCACAAUGUCUAGAAUAUUUACUACCUGACCCUUUACCAAAACAAAGUUUGACAUCUCCUGCCUCAGAGCAAUAUCAGAGCAAACCUCUCAUUAAAUAUAUUUCUGGUGAUUUUUAAUGUGAAAAAUGGUGCUGACAAAUGCAGAAGAGAUUCACUUUUAACUAUGCUGAUUCUAUGUGCAGUGGACUUGGAGAUAAUAACUUUUUUUAAAAGAGAUAGAGAGAAUUUUUUAAUAUUUAUUUUUAGUUUUCAGCAGACACAACAUCUUUAUUUGUAUGUGGUGCUGAGGAUUGAACCCAGCGCCACGCGCAUGCCAGGCAAACAUGCUACCGCUUGAGCCACAUCCCCAGCCCCAAGAGAUAAUUACUUUUUAAUUUACCAGUGCCGUGACUGUGACAAGGAAAAAGAUCCCUUUCCAAAUUAAAAAAUCUAAAUAUGUUAAAGGUAAUUUCUAUUGUACAUCAAAAGACAUACUAAAGAAAAUGAAAAGACAAGCCAUAAACUGAAUAUAUUUCCUUCAAGUAACAUCCACAAUAAAUAGUAUUCAGAUUACAUAAAGAACUUCUAAAAUAAGCAAUAAAUAAAAGCAAUCAAAUGGGCUUAUGUUCAUAUAUCUAUAGCAAAAGCUCCAAACAUGUUGACAUAUACAAAAUAUAAGCUUAUUUUUCUCUUACAUAAAAGAAGUCUAGAAUUGGCAUUCUGGGGUUGGCAUGGUGGUUCUGUGUUCAUCAGGAACUCCAGACUCUUCUUUUUUUUUUUUUUUUUCCUGCUCUAACAUCCUUUUAUGCAUCUACAAGGUUAUCAUCUAAUGGUUCAAAGUGGCUGCUGGAGUUUCAGCCAUCAUAUCUAGAUUUCAAGCAGUAAGAAAGAGGAAGAGGAUGAAAAGGAAAUAGAGGAGGUGGAGGAAGAGAGGAGGGUGAAGGGGAGGAGGAGAGUGCUACCACUCAGCUGAGCCAGCAAACUAGAGUACCUUUCCAAAAGUCUCAAUACUUCUACAUACAAUUUGUUGGCCAGAACAUACACCUACCUAAAUGCAAGUGUUAAUAAAGAUGAGUAGAUGAGUACAACCAUUUGCACAAUAAUCUGGCAUUAUCUGGUAAAGUUGAAUAUUCACAUACUGUGCAACAUGACAGCACAAUUCUGAUCUAAAAGUCUAUCCUAGAGAAAUUUUUGCACAAGUAUCCUAGGAGAUAGGUGUAAUAAUAUUGCCAGUACAUUUGUACAUCAACCUAAAGCUAGAAAAUAACCUUAGUGUCCACCAAUGCUAAGUGAGUUAAUCAACUUGGAAUUUUCAUAUAAUUUAUGUAAGUUUAAUAUAGCAGUGAAAAUUAAGGAACUUUAUCUUCAUUUUUGUGUGUGUGCUUUGUUGUUGUUGUUUGGUUGAUUUGUUUGUUUUUUGAUACUGGGGAUUGAACUCAGGAAUGUUUUACCACUAAGCCACAUCCCCAGCCCCUUUGUAUUUUGUAUUUUGAGAUAUAAGUUCUCACUAAGUUGGUUAGGGUCUUGCUAAGUUGCUGAGUCUGAUCUGGAACCUGUUAUGUUCACUUAUUCAUACGAAUUGCACAAGUUUACUGUUGAAUGGGGUGGGGCAGGUGUAUUAGUUUGGGCUGUCAAAACAAAGUACCAUAAACUGGGUAGCUUAAACAAAAUAAAGAUUAUUUCUCACAGUUCUGGAGGCUAGAGAGUCCAAAGUCAAGCAAGAUGCCACCUGGUUUGGUUCCCAGUGAAAGCUGUCUUUCUUACUUGCCUAUAGCCCCUCCCAUCUAUGUCCUCACAUGGGUAUGGGAAAAGUGGUAGGAAGGAGAGGGGCAGAGAAAAGGAGAGAGGAGAGAGAGGAAGUUCUCUAAUGGUUCUGUUUAUAGGACACUAGUCCCACCAGAAGUACCCUGUCCCCAUCUAAACCUAAUUAUUUCCUAAAGGUUUCAUCUCCAAAUACCAUCACAGGGGUGGGGUGGGGUGUUGGGGUCUCAACAUAUGAAUUCAGGGUGGGGGGGCGUGGAUACUAUACACACCAUAGCAGCAAGUCACUGGAAAAAUGCACAUAGUAUGACCUUACUUAUACAUAGUUUGAAAAGAUGCAAAAUUUAGCAUUUAGGGAUAUGAACACAUAUAGCAAAGUUAUGAAGAAAAGGAAAAAAAAUAUAAAAAGAAUGCUGGAUAGUAGUUGCUCCUGGUAGAGAGGUGAGAUGGGAUUGUAGAGAGGUACCAAGCAGUCCUGACAGGUAAUUCACUGGGAGUUGUUUUAGGAUACAGCUAGGAAACAAUAGUAGCCUGAAUGAGAUAGAAGUUUAUUUCCCUCAAAUAUAAUGUCUGGGUAGUUAAUCCAGGGCUUGGUACAGCAGCUCCAUGAUGUCAGAGAAGUGGAUUUCUUUUAUUCUAUUAGUGUAUCAUGUUUAGGAUGUUAGUCUUGAACUUGUGAUCCAAAUGGGUGGUCCCAACUCCUGACCAACUGGGAGAGAGCAAAGAGAAGGGGGCUGCACUCCUUUUCCUUCGAAAGCCAUGACCUAAGUUUGUAUACCUCACUUUUGCUCCCAUCCCACAAGCCAGAAGGGUCACCUGCUAAAAUUUCCACUACUAUUGAAAAGUGCUAGAAUGGAUAUUAGCAAGCCAUCAAGCUAUCUCAACCACAGUUUUCAAACUGGGUAGUUCAUUUAAUCAUUACUUAUGCCAUAUAUGUGUAUAAAUAUGUAUAUUUCAUGUCAUAUCUAUGUACAGACACAGACAUCUGGCAUAAAUAUUUCAAUUUAUUUUGCAAUAUAAAAUGUUUCAUAGUUAAAAUGUAGCAAAAAUAAUAAAAAGGAAAAAGAACCAUUUUUUCCCCUCAUCAUGCUCUAGGCUGAUUUCCCUUCUUAUUGCUAUUUGUGGUAAAUAUUUGGAAAUUUCACUUUAAUUCAAGGCAUGCUGAGGCGCAUCUGCCCCUUUUACCUUAUCUACUGCAUGUAAUGCAGUCCAAUACCAAAAACAAAUAGAUUCACAGUUUCCUGUUACUUCACCAGACUCCUUCCCAUUAACAUGAAUUAUUACAUGGUGAUGUGUACAUCUAUCAUAUACAGUAUAGUGACAAUUUUACCUUUUUCGUUUUUUUUAAAAAAAUUGUAGUUGUAGAUGGACAGAAUACCUUUAUUUUGUUUAUUUUUAUGUGGUGCUGAGAAUUGAACCCAGUGCCUUACACGUGCAAGGCAAGUGUUCUGCCGCUGAGCUACAGUCCCAGUUCAGUUUUUCCUGUUCUUGAACUAACCUGGUAGCUCACAUGAGUUCCUAUCUUGGGCACUAUUCUGAGUGUCAAGAGUUACUUUCUUUGAUUAUCACAAAACCCUUACAAAAUAGUCACCAUAAUCAUCUUUAUAUUAUAGAUGAGGAAACUGGAGUAUAGGGAGGUUCAGUAAUUUCCUAGGAUUGCACAGCUAGUAUUGUGAUAAAGCCAGGAUUUGAGCCUACACAGUCUAAUUCCAGAGUCCAUACUCUUAACCACUGCAAAAUAUCACCCAGUAAGUUGGACAAUUAAGUAUAAAUUGAACAAGACUGAUCUGAAAACCCCAAAUCCAAAAUAUUCUAAAAUUUGAAACUUUUGGAAUGUCGGCAUCAUGACACCAUAAGUGGAAUAUUACACACCUGAUCUCAUGACAGUCAGGUCUUAGGACACAGAAGCUCUCAAAAUACUGUAUAAAAUUACUUUCAAGCUAUGUUUAUAACUGCACAUAAACAUAUAUGAAUUUGGUGUUUUCACUUAGGUCUUACCAUCUCAUAAUGUAUAUGCAAAUAUCCAAAUUCUGAAAAAAUCCCAAACCUGAAACACUUCUGAUCUCAAGCAUUUUGGAUUAGGGAUACUCAAUCAGUAUUGGACUUAUAUGGACAUUUUGUCAACAGUAAACUCUUCAGUUUCUAUAUAUCAUGUAGCAUUUGUGCCAUUAUAAUUCAUUCUAAAUAUUAUGUAAAGAAUUUUGGGGGAAGGGGUUGUGGCUUAGUUGUAGAGCAUCUGCCUAGCAUGUGUGAGGCACUGGGUUUGAUCCCCAGCAUCACAUAAAAAAACUAAAUAAAAUAAAGGUAUUGUGUCCAUCUACAAAUACACACACACACACACACACACAAAGAAUUAUUUGGAUAAGGUGUACCAAGCUACAGUUAAGAGGAAUGAGUUAUAGGGCUCUACCUCACAGGGUGACAAUAGCAUACAACAAUUUGUUAUAUAUUGUAUAAAGAACUAAAAGAGUCUGAAGUCUCUGAACACAAAGAAAUGAUCAAUGUCUAAGGAGAUGGAAAUGCUAAUCACCCUUCUUUAGUCAUUGCACAUUGUAUACAUGAUUGAAUUUUCAUACUGUACCCCAUAAAUAUGUGCAAUUAUUAAGAAUCAAUGAAAAAUAAUAAAGAAUUAUUUUACUAAAUUUCCUAAAACUGAGGAUACAUUCCCCAGUUCAGAAGCCUUUGAUGAAGUCCCACCUACCUAGCUUGGGAUUUAAAAGCCUGAUCAUUUUUCUAGUUUUACCUCCCAAAUUUCUCUUCCCUUCCUCUUGUCCCUAAAUCUCAUGCUUCGGCUGCAUGGGUCCAUUAGCUGGCCCCUCAUUUGUUCCCCAUUGGAGAGUACCCUCCAUCCCUUACCACCCUGAAACACUAUCAGUCAGGGCUCAGCUUAAAUUCAUUCUUCUCCAAGAGGACCACCCGGAUUCUACUAGUUGUACCUCUCUUGCUCCCACACAACCAGAGUAUUUUGUGCCUUGUAAUCCAGCCUAUUUUUGGUUAUAAUUUAAUUAUUGAUCUAUCUCCCCACCUAGCUCAUACAGUACCAGUGCUACAUCACCAUGCCAAGUAUCUGCCUCAGUAUCUGAAAUUACUGUAACUGUACCCCAUAAAAUAUAUACAAUUAAAAUAAUACAUUUUUUUUUUAAAUACCUGGCUAGACUAGCAAAAUUGAUGGUGUAAAGCUAUCUGCGUUGUGUUUAGAAUUCUGAGCUUCAGACUAUAGGCUGGAGUAUUUACAAUUGUUAUGGUCUGUAGUUUUAUAAAUACUCAUUUCCCCCAUUUUCUUUUAUUUAAUUUCUGUCUUAAUGAUUUUGUACUUUGAGAUUCUAAUUCAAAUUUUAUGAAACUGUGCUACUUUUAAAAUUUGUGGGUAAUUAGAGAUGCACUGUUCAAUAGCAGAUCAACUAAAACCUUUGCUCUCUUCUAGAAAUACUUCAUUUCCUACUCCAGAUCAGAAAAACAAAAUUUCACAAGAGAAUCCCUGAGAUGUUGUAAUUGUGCUUUUUAUCUGAAAAAAAAUUGCAAAAAACAAUUUAGGGUUAAGGAAACUGUAUUCCCUUGGAGACAUAAUUCUUAAUCUUGUUUAUAUCCUUUGUUUUUCAUUUAUUAUCCUUUUCUGAGUAAAUGCCCUACUGCUUUAAAAUGUUUUCCAAGGUAUGAUUUGAGGAGUGCUGAAGGGAACCCCCUUCAUCAAAAAUUCCCUUUUCAGCAAUUUGGGCUGCCUAAAGUCCCACAGCAAUUUAUUCUUUCUUCCGGCUUAGAGUUUUUAAGAGUAACAGGUUAAGUCACAUUUGGAUGUCAGGUAAUGUCAUUAUCAGGAAUACCUGAAAGGGGAUUCAGUUAUCAGAACAGCUUUCCCUUAGGACAAGUGAGAGAAAAUGGCCCCAAAUAAAUAUCCAUGCAAGGAAUGAGACAAAAAGAGAACUGGAGCCUGGCCUCUCCUACAUGAAUGAACGCUGAACCACCAGAGAGCCAGUUGAAAUGCAGAUUCUGAAUUUGUGGAUUUGGGAAAAGGCCUGAGAGUUUUCAUUUUAAAAAGCUCUCAGGUGACCAAAGCUGCUGGUCAUCAAAUCACAUUUUGGGUAACUAGGGACCAAAGCACAGGUUUUUUUUUUGUUGUUGUUUGUUUGUUUGUUUUAAUGUACCCGGAAUUGAACUCAGGGGCACUUGACCACUGAGCCACAUCCCCAGCCCUAUUUUGUAUUUUAUUUAGAGCUAGGGUCUCACUGAGUUGCUUAGCACCUUGCUGUUGCUGAGGCUGGCACUCUUGAUCCUCCUGCCUCAGCCUCCUGAGCCUUGGUGCCCGGUGUAGCACAGGGUCUUAGAAGGCUUUAGUGAGGCACCACUCUGAGAAGCCUUAUUGGUCCCACUGAACAGGGAAUGAGUAGAAAGAAGAGAGAAAAGACUCAGAUGGCAAUUAAGGGAUGAGAAAGACUAACUGGACUCAAUUUUGCCUUCAGCUGGUCUUUCCAGAACAAAGGAUUAGAUAUUUGAUAGAUGGAGAGAUGGGUGCUAGAUGUUUAGAUAGUUAGAUUUUAUAUAUAUAAGAACUGUGUCUGGUGCUGAUUCUAUGAUAAUAUCUACAAGGUAACUGAAGUCUACAUUUUGGUCCUUGCUAAGGGUGUCUGCUGUUGAUGUCGUUUUUCUCAGCCAAUGCUGAGCUUCCUGGACUAAGAAACCUCUUACUCCAUGACAGUAAACCCGGAGAAACAAGCAUCCAUUUGAAGAUCCGGGAAGAAGAAAAUGUUUUGGUAUUAAAAUAAGCUCAUCUAUAAUGGAAGAGUACACCAUGCAUGGAUCACAGGCGGUGGCUGAGCGCGAACACUGUGUUCCGGAAGCCCACCAUCUCCCUGUGGUUUUCCAUCCUGCGAAAAGAGAAAUGCAGCCCAGGUGGAAAGGGUUAAGAAAGCAUGGCUGGAUUAAUGCUGCAAAGCAGAUAAACAGGAGCUCUUUUCUUUUUAUUGUUGAUUUUUCUCCUUAGGCUUCCUCCCUAGCUGCUUGCCUGGCAAGGCUAUUUCUGGCUUCAUUCCCCCCUGGCUGCUCCUGACUUCCCUUCCCUCUGUACAAAUAACAGUGCCCCACUCUGUCCUCCCCUCCUCCCUCCUGCCUGAUGCUGCUCCUUGGCCUUGGCCAUCACUGGCCCUCUUGUCACAACCUCCCAAUCUGUCUACUCGUACUUAACUCCUUAAGUGAGAGAAGUGACCCAAAGUCUAUGGUGGGCCAGAAUCCAUGCUUUUGAAAGACCCAGGACUGGAAAGACCCAGGAAACAAUCUAUGUCACCCAUGAACUCCUGCUUCUGCUACUAGGAAUGAUUUUGGAGUCCUGCCAUGAGCUAUUAAGAUGAGCAUAAAAAUAAUCCUCUUAGCAAGUCUCUUCCCCACUAUUACUCCAACUACCGCUGGCUCAGGGGCACCUCCCAAGGCAGAAAUGGGAACUGAAUUCACAGUGUCCCCCAGUGGACACUCAAGCCUGGGGCUGGGAUGAGCAGCUCCAAGGCACUUCAUCCCAUAGCCUGCAGAGGAUAUACUUGCUUGGCUCUCCAAUGCCUGGAAUUUUCCAGAGGACCACAUGACUUCAAAA
rnacentral:lncRNA from 1 species